UACCAUGCAGUCGAGCGGUAGAGAGCAUCUUGCUUUUCUUGAGAGCGGCGGACGGGUGAGUAAGGCCUAGGAAUCUGCCUAGUAGUGGGGGAUAACGUUCGGAAACGGACGCUAAUACCGCAUACGUCCUACGGGAGAAAGCAGGGGACCUUCGGACCUUGCGCUAUCAGAUGAGCCUAGGUCGGAUUAUCUAGUUGGUGAGGUAAUGGCUCACCAAGGCGACGAUCCGUAACUGGUCUGAGAGGAUGAUCAGUCACACUGGAACUGAGACACGGUCCAGACUCCUACGGGAGGCAGCAGUGGGGAAUAUUGGACAAUGGGCGAAAGCCUGAUCCAGCCAUGCCGCGUGUGUGAAGAAGGUCUUCGGAUUGUAAAGCACUUUAAGUUGGGAGGAAGGGCAGUUACCUAAUACGUGAUUGUUUUGACGUUACCGACAGAAUAAGCACCGGCUAACUCUGUGCCAGCAGCCGCGGUAAUACAGAGGGUGCAAGCGUUAAUCGGAAUUACUGGGCGUAAAGCGCGCGUAGGUGGUUAGUUAAGUUGGAUGUGAAAUCCCCGGGCUCAACCUGGGAACUGCAUUCAAAACUGACAAGCUAGAGUAUGGUAGAGGGUGGUGGAAUUUCCUGUGUAGCGGUGAAAUGCGUAGAUAUAGGAAGGAACACCAGUGGCGAAGGCGACCACCUGGACUGAUACUGACACUGAGGUGCGAAAGCGUGGGGAGCGACAGGAUUAGAUACCCUGGUAGUCCACGCCGUAAACGAUGUCAACUAGCCGUUGGGAGCCUUGAGCUCUUAGUGGCGCAGCUAACGCAUUAAGUUGACCGCCUGGGGAGUACGGCCGCAAGGUUAAAACUCAAAUGAAUUGACGGGGGCCCGCACAAGCGGUGGAGCAUGUGGUUUAAUUCGAUGCAACGCGAAAACCCUUACCAGGCCUUGACAUCCAAUGAACUUUCUAGAGAUAGAUAGAUGCAUCG
rnacentral:rRNA from 2 species